rnacentral:rRNA from 1 species
GGCGACCGGCGCACGGGUGAGUAACGCGUAUGCAACCUACCCUGUACAGGGGGAUAACCCGGAGAAAUUCGGACUAAUACCCCAUAAUGAUAUUUAAAGGCAUCUUUGAAUAUUUAAAGUUUUAAUGGUACGGGCUGGGCAUGCGUGACAUUAGCUAGUUGGUAAGGUAACGGCUUACCAAGGCUGCGAUGUCUAGGGGUCCUGAGAGGGUGAUCCCCCACACUGGUACUGAGACACGGACCAGACUCCUACGGGAGGCAGCAGUGAGGAAUAUUGGUCAAUGGGCGCAAGCCUGAACCAGCCAUCCCGCGUGAAGGAAGAAGGCGCUAUGCGUUGUAAACUUCUUUUCCAGGGGAAGAAAACCUCUGAUGUAUCGGAGCUUGCCGGUACCCUGGGAAUAAGCAUCGGCUAACUCCGUGCCAGCAGCCGCGGUAAUACGGAGGAUGCAAGCGUUAUCCGGAAUUAUUGGGUUUAAAGGGUGCGCAGGCGGAGUAAUAAGUCAGUGGUGAAAACCUGCAGCUUAACUGUAGAACUGCCAUUGAUACUGUUAUUCUUGAGUGUGGUCAAGGUAGGCGGAAUGUGUAAUGUAGCGGUGAAAUGCUUAGAUAUUACACAGAACACCGAUUGCGAAGGCAGCUUACUGGGCCAUUACUGACGCUGAUGCACGAAAGCGUGGGGAUCGAACAG